rnacentral:rRNA from 1 species
GGCCCUGAGUAAAGUGGCGCACGGGUGAGUAACACGUGAAUUAUCUACCUCCGAGUGGGGAAUAACUUCGGGAAACCGAGGCUAAUACCGCAUAACACUUACGAGUCAAAGCAGCAAUGCGCUUGGAGAGGAGUUCGCGGCAGAUUAGUUAGUUGGCGGGGUAAUGGCCCACCAAGACGAUGAUCUGUAUCCGGCCUGAGAGGGCGCACGGACACACUGGAACUGAAACACGGUCCAGACUCCUACGGGAGGCAGCAGUGGGGAAUUUUGCGCAAUGGGGGAAACCCUGACGCAGCAACGCCGCGUGGAGGAUGAAGUCUCUUGGGACGUAAACUCCUUUCGAUCGGGACGAUUAUGACGGUACCGGAAGAAGAAGCCCCGGCUAACUUCGUGCCAGCUGUCGCGGUAAUACGAGGGGGGCAAACAUUGUUCGGAAUUAUUGGGCGUAAAGGGCGCGUAGGCGGUUUGGCAAGUCUAGUGUGAAAUCUUCGGGCUCAACUCGAAGUCUGCACUGGAAACUGCCGGGCUUGAGUAUGGGAGAGGUGAGUGGAAUUUCCGGUGUAGCGGUGAAAUGCGUAGAUAUCGGAAGGAACACCUGUGGCGAAAGCGGCUCACUGGACCAUAACUGACGCUGAGGCGCGAAAGCUAGG